UAUAAAAACCCCUCCUUGGCCGGCCACCUCCCCCUUUGCUCUCAUUUUUGCUCUCUCCACUCACACCCACUCCCUCCCCUCCUUCUCCCACGAGCUGCUGCCCCUCCUUGCUUGCAUGGCCGGCCAUGGCCAUGGAAACCUCUCCAAGAUGCAACUCCCUCCUCCCUCAAGCUUUCCCUCACCAUGAGAGCCUCCCUCUCCAUCUUCUCCCCAACCUUAGAUGGUUUAAUCUCCUCUUCUUCUUCCUCCAUUGCUAAGAUUGGAUCUUGAUGCAGGUGCAUGUUGGUCCAAGCAUGGAGAAGCAUGAGCAAUCCUGAGAUCUGAAGUUCUUGAGCAAAGUUCGUCCAAAUCCCUGCAGUAAUUUCUGUAAUCUUGCUGUUUCAGAUUCUGGUACGAAGUUGUAAAAUCCACCAAAUCUCGUGCGCUGAUCCAAAUCGAGUGAUUCAAAGUUCCGCAGAUAGAUACGGAAAAGAUCUACAACUUGGCGUUGGUCUCAUCCUCAAAUUCGUUACGGAUUGUCCGUGGUGAAAGCCCUCUUCAAUACCUUCAUUUUGGCGGUGGUUUCACUUCGAUUGACCUCUUGAAACUGAAAUGGUUCACAGAUCAAGAUCUGAUCAGAUCUGACUUUGUCGAAUUAAACCAGGAGCUUGGGAAUGAAUUUUUGAAUGAAACCAAUUGGGGGAUACUUAGUUGUGCCAUGGUGAUACCGAGAGAGGCAAUUGCUAAGUUAUGAUACUCUCAUACCUUUACUAGAUGCGAACGAUUCCGGAGAAGAAGAAGAAGUGGUUCGGACAAGGAUUUUAUUUAUAUUGACGGGAUUCUUAUAUUGAUGAAGUUGAAGAAGUCCAGGGACAAAUAAGCCAAGUCAAGCCAUCUUUUGAUCUCUGAUAUGAUGUCUCUUUGGAUGUCAUCUUGUGCUAUCAAUAGCAUCUUGGUUCUAUGUGUGAUGAUCUCCAUAUUGUUGUCAUCUAUGCUUGGAUGCAAGCAUGGUACCUCUAGUAGUUUUAUCUUGUCAAGGUCUUGGUAAUUGGUUGGGUGUAUGGUAUCAUGGCCAUUGCUAUCCAACUUGCUUUCUAUAUUUAGCUUGAAUAUGUUCCACCUCGGGACAAGAUUCAUACUACACCCCCUUCUAGUGUAGAUGUAUCAAUACCAUGUUUUUGGUGUAUUCUCAAAUUGUGAUGAGUAUGCCUGUUUUCCCUUAAUGGUGUUGGUGUUGGUCAAUUCUCAUCCCUAUCUAUCUAUUGAUUGGGUUAGAUAGCACCACAAAUCUGAAAGUAUA